CCAGCGUCUACGGCCAUACCACCCUGAACGCGCCCGAUCUCGUCUGAUCUCUGAAGCUAAGCAGGUUCGGGUAUGGUUACUACUUGGAUGGGAGACCGCCUGGGAAUACCUGGUGCUGUAGGCUUUU
rnacentral:rRNA from 1 species